UUGUUGGGGUUGUAGGACUCCAAUAUGGUAGUCUGUUAGUAUAGUUGAAGGAUUUGGAAAAUUCCGCUAAAGAGGGUGAAAGCCCCGUAGACGAAAUGCUGACAACACCUAGGAGGAUCCUGAGUACGGCGGAACACGAGAAAUUCCGUCGGAAUCCGCGGGGACCAUCCCGCAAGGCUAAAUACUCCCUAGUGACCGAUAGUGAACCAGUACCGUGAGGGAAAGGUGAAAAGCACCCCGGAAGGGGAGUGAAAUAGAUCCUGAAACCGUGUGCCUACAACAAGUCAAAGCUCGUUAAUGAGUGAUGGCGUGCCUUUUGUAGAAUGAACCGGCGAGUUACGAUUGCAUGCGAGGUUAAGUCGAAGAGACGGAGCCGCAGCGAAAGCGAGUCUGAAUAGGGCGAAUGAGUAUGUAGUCGUAGACCCGAAACCAUGUGAUCUACCCAUGUCCAGGUUGAAGGUGCGGUAAAACGCACUGGAGGACCGAACCCACGUACGUUGAAAAGUGCGGGGAUGAGGUGUGGGUAGCGGAGAAAUUCCAAACGAACUUGGAGAUAGCUGGUUCUCUCCGAAAUAGCUUUAGGGCUAGCCUCGGAAUUGAGAAUGAUGGAGGUAGAGCACUGUUUGGACUAGGGGCCCAUCUCGGGUUACCGAAUUCAGAUAAACUCCGAAUGCCAUUCAUUUAUAUCCGGGAGUCAGACUGCGAGUGAUAAGAUCCGUAGUCGAAAGGGAAACAGCCCAGACCACCAGCUAAGGUCCCAAAAUAUAUGUUAAGUGGAAAAGGAUGUGGGGUUGCACAGACAACUAGGAUGUUGGCUUAGAAGCAGCCACCAUUUAAAGAGUGCGUAAUAGCUCACUAGUCGAGUGACCCUGCGCCGAAAAUGUACCGGGGCUAAACAUAUUACCGAAGCUGUGGACUACACCAUUAGGUGUAGUGGUAGGAGAGCGUUCUAAGGGCGUUGAAGGUCGAUCGUGAGGACGGCUGGAGCGCUUAGAAGUGAGAAUGCCGGUAUGAGUAGCGAAAGACAGGUGAGAAUCCUGUCCACCGUAUGACUAAGGUUUCCUGGGGAAGGCUCGUCCGCCCAGGGUUAGUCGGGACCUAAGCCGAGGCCGAUAGGCGUAGGCGAUGGACAACAGGUUGAUAUUCCUGUACCAGUUGUUUUUGUUUGAGCAAUGGAGGGACGCAGUAGGCUAAGGAAUGCAUGCGAUUGGAAGUGCAUGUCCAAGCAAUGAGUCUUGAG
rnacentral:rRNA from 1 species